CCUACGGGUGGCAGCAGUGGGGAAUAUUGGGCAAUGGGCGCAAGCCUGACCCAGCAACGCCGCGUGAAGGAAGAAGGCUUUCGGGUUGUAAACUUCUUUUCUCAGGGACGAAGAAAGUGACGGUACCUGAGGAAUAAGCCUCGGCUAACUACGGGCAAGCAGCAGCGGUAAACCGUAGGUGGCAAGCGUUAUCCGGAUUUAUUGGGUGUAAAGGGCGUGUAGGCGGGAGCGCAAGUCAGAUGUGAAAACGCAGGGCUCAACCCUGGGCCUGCAUUUAAAACUGUGUGACUUGAGUGCUGGGGAGGCAAUCGGAAUUCGGUGUGUAGCGGUGAAAUGCGUAGAUAUACGGAGGAACACCAGUAGCGAAGGCGGAUUGCUGGACAGUAACUGACGCUGAGGCGCGAGAGCGUGGGGAGCAAACAGGAUUAGAUACCCGUGUAGUC
rnacentral:rRNA from 1 species